UUUUGAUGUAGGCCCAUUUAGACCACCCUCAUAAAGAACCCGUACAGGUAUCAUCUACGUGUAGAAAUCUUCUCGUUGGGUAAAAAAACUCUUCUCUCGCAGCUUCUUCGAUCCCCACCAGCAUCCUUAUCCAUCCGAUGCACCACCUCUUCCGAUUAGCCGUUUGUUGAAGAUUUCGUUGCUCGCCACCACAGAACCAAUUCCCAAUCCAUCUCCACUUCUCCAUUCAUUUCUUUGAAUCUCUUCCGUUACUGGCGCAGUUGGUGGUUGCACGGAGUACGCAGACGCGUUCGUCUUGUUCUCAAGGGUGUGGAUCCUUGACCUCGUCGAGUCCGACGGAGUGGCCAUGCUGCGGAGUGGCCAUGGGGAGUAGCAGGGAAAACACAGGGCUGCACUGCUCAAGCUCGUCAUGGCCGUCGGCUAAGCCAUGGCAGAUUUGCUGUAGUUUGGCCUCAUGGAGGAGGCUGUGUGGGAACCAAUUGGUGGGAACUCACCAAGUCGCCUACUGAUGAUGAAUUGUUAGAUCUGACAUCCGAGGUACGGGACAGAGUUUGGGUUUGCUGAUAUUGUCCUCAUAGGUAUUACAGUGGCAAUGGUGAAACCUUAGUAUAAGUAGAUUGUGGAAUACAAAUAGCAGCACACGACCGUGAGAUGCUGGCCUUUUCAUUUCUGGUGCUGUCAGACUACUACCACACAAUUGUGCCGCUGGGCAAAGCUAGCGUUAUGUACAUAUCCGGUUGUGCUAUGAAGUUACUUGAGCAAGGUAUAACUCAUUCUCGCAAAAAUUGAUGAUACCAUUUAUUGAAAUUCUGAUGAAUUACCUGGUCUUGCUGGUUUUCGUGCCUCAUUUUAGUAAGUUCUUGCAAUGUUCUCCGCCUGUAAAACAUUUGUUCUUCUAGUGUUCCCUGAUUACUUCUAUCUAUACUCAUCAUUUUUGGUAAGGUUACUUGUGUUGAGUCCCUGCACAUAUAUAAAACAAAUAAUAAUAUAUACAAUCUUGAAUCAACAUGAGUCACUAUUCAUGAGUGGGAAUUUUUAAUUGGUAGUGUUUCAUACCUUUCAAGAAGUUCUUGUGCUUCUGGUAUGUCCAGAUCUAUAUAUAUUCUUGUCGCACUGGUUGACUUUAGGCACAAACCUAUUUAAUUAACCAAUUAGAAUUUUUGAAUGAUAAGAGCAGCAUCUAAGAUUUAUGGACUUACCAUUGAAUCUCUGCACCAUCGUUGAUGUAAUAAUAAUGACAGUUUGGCUGCCAAUUACAUCCUCGGUCAAAAAGUAAGCAAACUUUCCCCAUAACGUGAUUAUGAUUUUAUCACCCCUAAAGAAUUUAAUUCGAGAAGUUAGUGUUAACCACAUGGGGCAUGCGUAGUUAAAUUUCAGACAUACAUAUGCAUAUGCACUUACUCUGGCAUUAGUAUUUCAAUCUCGCGGAUAUAUGAAGGUUGUGGGCUCUUUUUUGUUAUUCUUGUCUCCACGGGCUUCAUUUUUGUUAGAAGUCCAAUGACAUCUGUAUAUUUGGAAAUUAGUAAUAUAACAAUUAGAAAUAUCUAUUAUUUGGAAGCCGUAAUUACAACUAUAAACAUACCUGAGCAUUGUGUAUCUUUUCCUGCCCUUUCUUCGAGUGUCUCCAUGGUAGCAAACUCGAAGCAAUAGUCCAAAAAAACUUCUGAAGAUCCUUUUAUCUCCUUUACCUUUGUAUUGUAUGCAAAAAAUAUUUUAAUUUCAUUGCUCACUGGCCUAUAUUUUGUGGAUUCCACAACCUUAAAAUUGCUGAAUCCGUAAAUAGACUUCUCAUUGAUCUUUGAUCUAAAAGUAUCUAUUAGAUUCUUCCAGAUAGAAGCAUGAAUUGUUUCACCCUGUAAAAACAAUCAAUUAUGGUUAGUAACUGUUGCUUAAUCUGAAAAAAAUCCAAUUAACUAUAUUGAAAAACAGACCUGCUCAUCCAUGAGUAUCAUAUCUAGGCUAAUAAGCUCAUCGGUAGUAGGAUUAACUGAAUCCCAAAUCCUCAUUACUUUCACUUGAAUGUUCCAGUUUUGUCCCCUUGUAGUUAAUUCGCUCAACUUUGUGUAUGCCAUAGUCUUAUGUCUUCAAAAUUAAUAGGAAAAAAUUAGUCAAUGGAUAUAGUAUUUAUGAAGAUCCUAUCCAUAAAAAAGGUUGUUAAAUAACAAUUACCAAGUCUGGUAAUUCAGCCCAGAAGUUCUUUGUCGUCACUUCUUCCGACGUCGAUUGGAGCAGCUGGGCGUGGCUUUGUCGGGUGUCGGCGGGCUUUGGCGUGACUUCCACCAACGUCAAGUGAAGCGGUUGGAGAUGACUUGUCGACUUCAAGCUGUGCGGACGGCGAGGCGUGUGUUCCGUCUGGCGUGUUUCAAGAUGUGGUGGUCAUCGAUUUCUAAUUGUUUGCUGCGUGCUUGUGUGGCCGGCUGCACUUAUUUAUAUGGGUUGAGGUGGCUGGGUUGACGUGGCGGAGACCGUGUGGAGAUCUUGUACGUAUUCGUUCCUGUCUUGGAACUUUCAUCACGUGAGGUCUGGUGGGUUUCCUUAUUUGAUUAGGUUUCUUAUUUAAGUAGGUUUGACUACUAUUUUUGCUCCUUGACCCAUUGAUGGAAAUAUUCUAUUUUUGUU